rnacentral:rRNA from 1 species
CAAUACGAGCGGCAGACGGGUGAGUAACGCGUGGGAAUCUACCCAUCUCUACGGAACAACUCCGGGAAACUGGAGCUAAUACCGUAUACGUCCUUUUGGAGAAAGAUUUAUCGGAGAUGGAUGAGCCCGCGUUGGAUUAGCUAGUUGGUGGGGUAAUGGCCUACCAAGGCGACGAUCCAUAGCUGGUCUGAGAGGAUGAUCAGCCACACUGGGACUGAGACACGGCCCAGACUCCUACGGGAGGCAGCAGCC